rnacentral:rRNA from 1 species
GUGUCAGCAGCCGCGGUAAUACGUAGGGGGCAAGCGUUAUCCGGAAUCACUGGGCGUAAAGGGUGCGUAGGCGGCCUUUCAAGUCAGAGGUGAAAGGCUACGGCUCAACCGUAGUAAGCCUUUGAAACUGUAGGGCUUGAGUGCAGGAGAGGAAAGUGGAAUUCCUAGUGUAGCGGUGAAAUGCGUAGAUAUUAGGAGGAACACCAGUGGCGAAGGCGACUUUCUGGACUGUAACUGACGCUGAGGCACGAAAGUGUGGGGAGCAAACAGGAUUAGAUACCCUGGUAGUCCACACCGUAAACGAUGAGCGCUAGGUGUUGGGGGUCGAACCUCAGUGCCGCAGCUAACGCAUUAAGCGCUCCGCCUGGGGAGUACGCACGCAAGUGUGAAACUUAAAGGAAUUGACGG